rnacentral:rRNA from 1 species
GCCGGUGAGUGAAGAAGCCUUCGGGUUGUAAAGCUCUUUUGUCAGGAAGAAACACCGGCUCUAACACAGUCCGGGAAUGACGGUACCUGAAGAAUAAGCACCGGCUAACUACGUGCCAGCAGCCGCGGUAAUACGUAGGGUGCGAGCGUUAAUCGGAAUUACUGGGCGUAAAGCGUGCGCAGGCGGUUAUACAAGACAGGCGUGAAAUCCCCGGGCUUAACCUGGGAAUGGCGCCUGUGACUGUAUGGCUAGAGUGUGUCAGAGGGGGGUAGAAUUCCACGUGUAGCAGUGAAAUGCGUAGAUAUGUGGAGGAAUACCAAUGGCGAAGGCAGCCCCCUGGGAUAACACUGACGCUCAUGCACGAAAGCGUGGGGAGCAAACAGGAUUAGAUACCCUGGUAGUCCACGCCCUAAACGAUGCUGACUAGUUGUACGGGAUUUACAUCCUGAGUAACGUA